rnacentral:rRNA from 1 species
AUGCCGCGUGAAUGAUGAAGGUCUUAGGAUUGUAAAAUUCUUUCACCGGGGACGAUAAUGACGGUACCCGGAGAAGAAGCCCCGGCUAACUUCGUGCCAGCAGCCGCGGUAAUACGAAGGGGGCUAGCGUUGCUCGGAAUUACUGGGCGUAAAGGGAGCGUAGGCGGACUGUUUAGUCAGAGGUGAAAGCCCAGGGCUCAACCUUGGAAUUGCCUUUGAUACUGGCAGUCUUGAGUACGGAAGAGGUAUGUGGAACUCCGAGUGUAGAGGUGAAAUUCGUAGAUAUUCGGAAGAACACCAGUGGCGAAGGCGACAUACUGGUCCGUUACUGACGCUGAGGCUCGAAAGCGUGGGGAGCAAACAGGAUUAGAUACCCUGGUAGUCCACGCCGUAAACGAUGAGUGCUAGUUGUCGGCAUGCAUGCAUGUCGGUGACGCAGCUAACGCAUUAAGCACUCCGCCUGGGGA